rnacentral:lncRNA from 1 species
UUCCAAAAUUAACAAAUAAUGUCUUACAAACCCAAAAUUUAUAAAUAAUGUCUUACAAACGCAAAAUUAAACACACAAUAAUUAACUAAGACAACAUAAUUAAUAUGUGUUCAUACAACCCAAAAAUAAAUUAUGAAAUUAUUCAAAUGACAUCAAUCCUCAUAAUAAUUCCUCUGAUCAGCUCCACUCACACCAUCAUUAUUUCCUGCCAUGCCCGACGAAAGAAGUCCCUCAAAAGAAUUAUUAAUUUGUGUUGGAGGAGACAUCAUGGUUUGAAAUUGAAUUUCAUCUUCAAUGGCACCACCACUAGUCGAAUGAGGAGCCCUAGCUGGUUGAUGUUGAUUUAAAUCUGGUCUGAUCAACCCAGCUAUUGGCAUAGUUGGUCGGUAUGCAGUUUGAUGAUCUGGUUGAGG